GGUGGCGCUUUCAAGAGAGCAUAAACUGCGGUAGUGUAGGGAGGAUACAAGCUUGCCGUAGAGUUGCCUGGAUAAGUUUCUCAGACAGUGGGCAGGGCCAUAGCGCUCCCAACAGACUUUGUCCUUUGUCUUCAGCUACGAGGGGAGUCUACCUACUGAAAGGGGGCCCAGUGGACAUGGAACUCUAAGAUAAGGCAUUCUUCCUGGGCAGCAGUGAGUAUAGGAACAGUUGGCCUUUUUGGAUGAAGGUGUGAUUACUGGAAAGGAGUACUGCCAGGUGAUAAAGUAAGAAGACAAAGAUGCAGACAAUCAAAAGCAGCCACAUCAGUCUGGUGAUGGGCAAGGGAACACGUGUCAAAGCCAGCUGACCUUUACAUACAUCACGGCUAACUAGAAAACCAUUUGGUGACUUGCUAGUUCCUCGAACUUCUGGGAAAGAGAAUGGUGUUAUAGAUGGAGUCUCACUGUCGUCCAGGCUGGAGUACAGUGGCAGGAUCUUGGCUCAUGCAACCUGUGCCUCCUUGAUUCAAGCGAUUCUCCUGCCUCAG
rnacentral:lncRNA from 1 species